rnacentral:rRNA from 1 species
CCUCCCUCAUACAGGGGAAUAACAACCGGAAACGGUUGCUAAAACCGCAUAAUAUGCUAACAUCGCAUGAUGACUGCAUUAAAUAUUAGUAGGUAUGAGAUGGGGCCCGCGUCUGAUUAGCUAGUUGGUGAGAUAAAAGCUCACCAAGGCGACGAUCAGUAGCCGGCUUGAGAGAGUGACCGGCCACAUUGGGACUGAGACACGGCCCAAACUCCUACGGGAGGCAGCAGUGGGGAAUAUUGCACAAUGGGGGAAACCCUGAUGCAGCGACGCCGCGUGAGUGAAGAAGUAUUUCGGUAUGUAAAGCUCUAUCAGCAGGGAAGAAAAUGACGGUACCUGACUAAGAAGCCCCGGCUAACUACGUGCCAGCAGCCGCGGUAAUACGUAGGGGGCAAGCGUUAUCCGGAUUUACUGGGUGUAAAGGGAGCGUAGGUGGCAAGUCAAGUCAGAUGUGAAAGCCCGGGGCUCAACCCCGGGAUUGCAUUUGAAACUGGUUUGCUAGAGUGCAGGAGAGGUAAGUGGAAUUCCUAGUGUAGCGGUGAAAUGCGUAGAUAUUAGGAGGAACACCAGUGGCGAAGGCGGCUUACUG